rnacentral:rRNA from 1 species
UACGUAGGGUGCAAGCGUUAAUCGGAAUUACUGGGCGUAAAGGGCGCGUAGGUGGCGCGGGCAGUCAACGGUGAAAGUUCGGGGCUCAACCCUGAAUCGGCCGUCGAUACUCCCGGGCUUGAGCACUGUAGAGGCAGAUGGAAUUCCGGGUGUAGCGGUGGAAUGCGUAGAGAUCCGGAAGAACACCGGUGGCGAAGGCGGUCUGCUGGGCCAAGACUGACGCUGAGGCGCGACAGCGUGGGGAGCAAACAGG